rnacentral:rRNA from 1 species
UAACAGGUCGUAGACCCGAAACCAGGUGAUCUACCCAUGUCCAGGAUGAAGGUAAGGUAAUACUUACUGGAGGUCCGAACCCACGCACGUUGAAAAGUGCGGGGAUGAGGUGUGGGUAGCGGAGAAAUUCCAAUCGAACUUGGAGAUAGCUGGUUCUCUCCGAAAUAGCUUUAGGGCUAGCCUCGAGGUAAAGAGUCAUGGAGGUAGAGCACUGUUUGGACUAGGGGCCCUUCUCGGGUUACCGAAUUCAGAUAAACUCCGAAUGCCAUGUACUUAUACUCGGGAGUCAGACUGCGAGUGAUAAGAUCCGUAGUCGAAAGGGAAACAGCCCAGACCACCAGUUAAGGUCCCCAAAUAUAUGUUAAGUGGAAAAGGAUGUGGGGUUGCUUAGACAACCAGGAUGUUGGCUUAGAAGCAGCCACCAUUGAAAGAGUGCGUAAUAGCUCACUGGUCGAGUGACCCCGCGCCGAAAAUGUACCGGGGCUAAACAUAUUA